UACGUAGGGGGGCAAGCGUUGUCCGGAAUUAUUGGGCGUAAAGCGCGUGUAGGCGGUCCGGUAAGUCGGCUGUGAAAGUCCAGGGGCUCAACCCCUGGGAUGCCGGUCGAUACUGCCGGACUAGAGUUCGGAAGAGGCGAGUGGAAUUCCCCGGUGUAGCGGUGAAAAUGCGCAGAUAUCGGGGAGGAACACCAAUGGCGAAGGCAGCUCGCUGGGACGUUACUGACGCUGAGACGCGAAAAGCGUGGGGAGCAAACAGG
rnacentral:rRNA from 1 species